CCUCCCCCACCCUCCCCCCUCCCCUCCCCUCCCCCCCCUCAUGGAGGAGUCUCCGCGCGCCGCCGAUGGAGGCGGAGGUCCCGGCCCGGAGCCGAGGCAGCGUCCGAGGGCGGCCGGAGAGAACUGAGGAUGUCUAAACCCCUGGAGCUGGAGAAGGAGCUGCCGGGGGAGCGCCCGGACACAGAAACCAAUGGACCCGACACGAACCACCAGGCCCAGCAGAACAAACCCCCC